rnacentral:lncRNA from 1 species
AGAGGCAAACCCAUUCACUGAGUGGAGGAGAAUCCCUUAGACAAGAGUGCAGUGUUAGAAAUGAGAUCAGAUGCAGGUUUUGACUGUACACCUUGGUCAGCAGCAAGCACUGAAGAGACAAAUCGAGUUCCUUUAAAAUUUGGCAGAAAAUGUGUCUUUUCCCAGCCUCCAAUGGAUGCACAGUUUCUCUUCAAUUAAAUUGUUAAUUUGUUCUAAAAAUCAGGUCCGUCCACUGACAAUAGAGGAAGUUGAAAUUGUGUAGAUUGAAAGGAUUGUAUUCUAAAGGCUUGAAACGUUAGCACAGAGCUUUGGAAAUUACUGACAAGAAUAUGGAGCACUAUUUUACUUCAAAGCACUUCACAAAUAUCCACUGGCUGACCCCCUUCACUGUUCCCUUGCCAGAGAAGAGGCACACUUGAGAGAGAAAGCUAUCACAAGAUGAUGUGAAAACUGGGAAUUCAAGCCAAAGCUUUCAUUAGAAUUUGUAGGUUCCUCUGGUGCUUUCUGCAUGUUAAAAAAGAUCUCUUCCUUUCUGCGUCUGCAUUUGAAAUAGCUAAGUGGUGAUGCAGAAGAAAGGUGAGAACUUCUAAUAGCAGGGUUAGAGCCUUGUGACGUUUUAUGCAAAUAUGUCACGAAACUUUAAAUAUAAUGAAUAGUCAUGGGGCACUUCUGCAGCAGUCUCGGACUGCCAACACGUGUCAGCCUCGCUGAAUUAUUAUUUUCUUUGUGGACUCAAAUUUCCAUUUAAAAAUUAUCAUCAGAACAGCCUAACAUACUUCAGUCCAUCUGGUCGUUUAGACGCUAAAGGUCCUGUCCAUGGAGCACCCUUAUGGAGCGUUUUGUUUUAUUUCAAUACGUAUGCUCAGCAAUUUUGAUGUUGAAUGUUGUUUAGUAAUUGACAACAUUUCCCCCAAAUUUCCAGUAUGUAUUUAAUCAUUGAAUUGUUUUCAGGUAUAAAUCAGGAUAAAUCUGGGUCUGUUGGAGUCAGAGUCCAGUCUAUCCAUUCCCACCCUUUAAUGCAGUAGCUUUAUGGUAAGCUAUAGUAUCAUAGUCUCAGGAACUUCAUGAAAUGUAACACAGCUGUGUGUACAGAUAAUCACGGAAAGUAAAAACUACUCCAUUAAUAUUUGGAGUCAUAAAAGACAUAGUCUUGGACUUGUUUAGCUACAGCUCACUUUCUCUGGUUUGGUUUUGUCUU